AAUAGAGUUUAAAAUUAUUUUAUAUAAAAAGUUUUAUUAUAUAAAUAUAACCUUAUUUAAAACUAACUUAUAUAAAUAUUUUUAAUUUAUAAUCAAUAUUAAAACUUUUCAUCUUAAAUAUUUGUAGAUUAAUUGUUUUAAUUCUAAAUCUCAUAUAUUAUUAUCAUUAUUAACAAAUUUUAAAUUUUUGUCUGGCGGUGACAACCCGAGACAACGCCUUUAUACUCCACAAGUUAGAAGUGGUAUGGCGAGCACUUCUCGUGGUGCUUCAACAUCCUCCCUAGAGAAAGACUCAGUUCUGGUUGUUCCUGCUCCAGGGCUCCACAUAAGCAGCCAUUUAUCCUGACUGUUGAACAAUUAGUUCAACAACCAGGUUGAGAGUAUCUCCCUCGACUCCAUCCUCACCCAGACCGAUAUCCUAUAUGGUUCAACAAGUCCAGCCUCAGCAUUAGCACCAGAAUUAACAAGAUGAUGUAUUCCAUGCUCAGACACGGAUAUCCAACCUACAGCAAGCUCCCGGACUCCCACCGUGAGUUGUGGUUUCUUCAAUUGGCGCAGGGAUUCAAUUGGGAGUCUAGGCAUAUGGAAAAAGUCCAUAUAGCCUUCCACCAAAAGAUCAUGACUAUUUAUGGGAAGCAUUUCUAUGAGUGGAAGCAGCUGUGGAAGAAGGGCAAGACACUGAAAUCUAUUAACACGACAAUCUGGCUCGAGUUGCUGGAGAAUUGGUCUAAACCGGAGUCUAAAGACAAGUCAGUCACCAACUCCGAGAACCGCCAACGCAACCGUGGCGGGAAAAGUUAUGUCCACAACUUGUGUGCCUGCAGUAUAUCUUCUCUCGAAGAUAAACUUCAAAUGAAGGUAAUCUCGCCGAUUAUCUUGAUAUAAUUAAGGGAGCGUACACCAACAAAAAGACGGACCAAAAUUCAAGAUCCCAUUAUGAAGGAUGUCAUAUAGUUGGCGAAAACCCUGGUGGAAGAAAGUUCGUGCUUCCUAUAUCAAAUAAACGAAAUGGUGGAAGAGGCUAUUCCAUAAAAAAGGUCGUCGAGCUUCAUCUUGUCCUUCCUCACAAGCGCGAUAUGCCGCUGGCUAUGGAGGAAUUAAAUAAUAAAGAUGAGCGGAUUGAAGCUUUGGAGACUCAAAAUGCUACAAUUCUUGCAGAAAUGGCGGAACGGAAAGCAGCAACAGCAAAACAAUGAGUGGUUGUGGACGCAACUCAGAGGAUGAACCAUAAGCUAAUAUAAUUUCAGAUUUUAAAUUUAUU